AAGUCGUAACAAGGUUUCCGUAGGUGAACCUGCGGAAGGAUCAUUAUCGUGGGGGCUCCGCCCCUUCCGAAGAUAGAACCCUUGAUUUUUGAGAACCCUCCGUUUCCUCGGCAGGUCCGCCUGCCAACGGGGACACUUUAAACUCUUUGUAAUAGCAGUACCUUCUGAUAUAAAACAAAAAGUCAAAACUUUCAACAACGGAUCUCUUGGUUCUGGCAUCGAUGAAGAACGCAGCGAAAUGCGAUAAGUAGUGUGAAUUGCAGAAUUCAGUGAAUCAUCGAAUCUUUGAACGCACAUUGCGCCCUUUGGUAUUCCUUAGGGCAUGCCUGUUCGAGCGUCAUUUAAAAUUUCAAGCUCAGCUUGGUGUUGGGUGUUUGUCCCGCCCUGGUGCGCGGACUCGCCUCAAAAGCAUUGGCAGCCGGUACGUUGGCUUUGAGCGCAGCAGAUUUGCGACUCGGUGCCUGGCGGACUGGUUCUCCAGAAGCCCCCUUUAAAGUUUGACCUCGAUCAGGUAGGGAUACCCGCUGAACUUAA
rnacentral:rRNA from 1 species